CUACGGGUGGCUGCAGUGAGGAAUAUUGCACAAUGGGGGGAACCCUGAUGCAGCAACGCCGCGUGGAGGAUGACGCAUUUCGGUGUGUAAACCCCUUUUAUAUGUCAAGAAAAUGACGGUAGCAUAUGAAUAAGCUCCGGCUAACUCCGUGCCAGCAGCCGCGGUAAUACGGAGGGAGCAAGCGUUACUCGGAAUCACUGGGCGUAAAGGACGCGUAGGCGGGAUAGAAAGUCAGGUGUGAAAUCCUAUGGCUCAACCAUAGAACUGCACUUGAAACUUCUAACCUAGAGUAUGGGAGGGGAAGAUGGAAUUAGUGGUGUAGGGGUAAAAUCCGUAGAUAUCACUAGGAAUACCUAAAGCGAAGGCGAUCUCCUGGAACAUUACUGACGCUAAGGCGUGAAAGCGUGGGGAGCAAACAGGAUUAGAUACCCGGGUAGUC
rnacentral:rRNA from 1 species